rnacentral:misc_RNA from 1 species
GAUGAAGAACGUAGCGAAAUGCGAUACGUAAUGUGAAUUGCAAAUUCAGUGAAUCAUCGAGUCUUUGAACGCACAUUGCGCCCCCUGGUAUUCCGGGGGGCAUGCCUGUCCGAGCGUCAUUGCUGCCCUCAAGCACGGCUUGUGUGUUGGGCCCCGUCCUCCGAUUCCGGGGGACGGGCCCGAAAGGCAGCGGCGGCACCGCGUCCGGUCCUCGAGCGUAUGGGGCUUUGUCACCCGCUCUGUAGGCCCGGCCGGCGCUUGCCGAUCAACCCAAAUUUUUAUCCAGGUUGACCUCGGAUCAGAUAGGGAUACCCGCUGAACUUAAGCAUAUCAAUAAGCGGAGGA